UUGCGUGGCUCCCUGCACACCUUUGGUUGGCUCUGUAAUUGUAGUGAUGGGAUUCACCAGGAGCUGCCAGCCUUGCCAACACAUCCCUGCUGGUGGUACCCAGGCUGUGUGCUCCAGGCACUGAAGGCACUUUGGAUGAGAGCAGGAAGGCAAUGAUGAACAUCUCAAUCCUUGCACCAGCAUCCAACCUAAAAGCCCAGGGCUGCUGCUGGAAAGUAGCACGUAUUGCAGCGACAGCAGAGCCUGCAGCCUCUGGAGUCCAGAUGGAUUAGAGCCUAAAGAGAGAGCUGAGCUCCCUAAUGGACACACGCCGUGUUUUCAAGCAUCUGUGCAUCUUUUCCUGAUUGUCUGCUGUUAAGCCCUCGUUUCAGGCAGCGCUGGGCUCUCUGCUGCAUGCCAGCAACAGCUCUUCCAAACUUCCUUGAUUGUGUCUCUGCCUGUUGCUCGCGCUCGCGAUGGAAUGGAAGGCAGCAAGAGUGACGGAGUUGAAAUGAGCAGCGAGAGGAACCUGAGCUGAAUUUUGGGAAGGGCUUGGUUAGAGUGAAAUGGAAAAGGAAGGCUCUUUUCCUGUGGCCUGGAGUCAGUGUUUAAAAAAUAAGGGAGUGGAAGAGACCCCAUUGGACUACAAGGAGACUUUCAGUGUCUGACCCCUGGGAGCUGCCUUCAGCCCAUGCUUCUGCAGGUUUUGCCAUAAGUGAGAGAAUGUGACCAUGCUCAAGAAGAGAGCUGAUACAACAGCAGCUGCUGCCAUCCCUGCCUGACUUCCAGAGAUCUCCAGUUCUGGACUGGCGAGGCAGAAGGAGCCUCCAGUAGCACACACCAGUGAUUUUUCCUGCAUGACCUCCCCUUUCCCCACCGGUCCUCAAACCCAGAUGCUCUGGUGGAGUUCAGUCCCACAGAGGUCCAAUCUAAAGAGCUGAAGUGACAGUGAAAUCUGCCGCAUCCUCAGGAACCUUGGUGCCUCCACCAGGAUUUUACCACGUUCUCCUUUAUUUCCCAGUCUCCUGGCAAGGAGGAACUUCUCCACUUUGCAGCAGAGUUGGACUGAAGAUCCAGCUGGCAGAGAAACAAAGAGCUGAACUUUUCAAAAGGCCACCAAGGAGCUUUGCCUCACAGCUCUCCUAAGCACACUGAGAAGGUCACCAUGGGUUAAAUAUCAUCAGCUGCCACCCUGGUAGGGAUGGAAACCAAAAGCAUUGUGGCCUCUUCAAGAUGCAUGGACAUGGUGAGCUGGAGGGCUGUGGCUCAGCUGUGCCCAGAAGCUCUGGAGAAGCCCCAGUGACCGUGCAGCCCCUCUGCUGUUGACCCUCCCGCCCCCUGCAAAGUGCAACUAAG